rnacentral:rRNA from 1 species
AUUGAACGCUGGCGGCAUGCCUUACACAUGCAAGUCGAACGGCAGCGCGGGAGCAAUCCUGGCGGCGAGUGGCGAACGGGUGAGUAAUGUAUCGGAACGUGCCCAGUAGUGGGGGAUAGCCCGGCGAAAGCCGGAUUAAUACCGCAUACGACCUACGGGUGAAAGGGGGGGAUCGCAAGACCUCUCGCUAUUGGAGCGGCCGAUAUCAGAUUAGGUAGUUGGUGGGGUAAAGGCCUACCAAGCCUGCGAUCUGUAGUUGGUCUGAGAGGACGACCAGCCACACUGGGACUGAGACACGGCCCAGACUCCUACGGGAGGCAGCAGUGGGGAAUUUUGGACAAUGGGCGCAAGCCUGAUCCAGCAAUGCCGCGUGCAGGAAGAAGGCCUUCGGGUUGGAAACUGCUUUUGUCAGGGAAGAAAUCCUCUGGGUUAAUACCUCGGGGGGAUGACGGUACCUGAAGAAUAAGCACCGGCUAACUACGUGCCAGCAGCCGCCGUAACAC